UCUGCUGCCCCAGAAUUUUAGGGCGAAGGUAAUAAUACUAAACAACAACAACAUAUUACUUACAUCCCGCCUAUCUGACUGGGUUGCAUUUAUACGUAUGAAUGAGCACAUGCAAACAUACUACAAAUACGUGCCCUCUUUUUUGGGGCAAUGCAUUUUCUCUUUUGGGGCAAUUCACAAGUGGCAAAGUAAAUAAGGCCUGUUUCACACAGAAGAAGCACUCUUCACGUAGGAUAUGCCUGGCAGUGUAACAUCAAGUGCAGCCUGAGUACAGUGGUACCUCGGGUUACAUGUGCUUCAGGUUACAGACUCCACUAACCCAGAAAUAGUACCUCGGGUUAAGAACUUUGCUUCAGGAUGAGAACAGAAAUCGUGCUCCGGCAGCACGGUGGCAGCAGGAGGCCCCAUUAGCCAAAGUGGUGCUUCAGGUUAAGAACAGUUUCAGGUUAAGAACGGACCUCUGGAACGAAUUAAGUACUUAACCCGAGGUACUACUGUAGUCUUUCUACCACUACUAUGCAGCUACUUGAUCCAUAGAGUUGUAGUGUAAAAAACACUUGCACUGCACUUCAGACACUUAUGAAAGGCAUACAUUUUUCUACAUGAAGAGGAUGUUCACACAGAAAACAUAUAAUGUGCCCUUCGUAGGUGUCAAGUAAAUAAUGUUACUGCAUUCACAUGAAUCCGCCUGGGUAGAUUAAUGUUUUUAUCAAGCCAGGGAUGUUCUCCCAUGAAAAGCUGCUCAGAAGGUUACCUGACCAAACAUAACAAUUCUAUUUCCAAAGGCUGGAAGGAACCUCUUGUAGCUUAAUACCUUUGUCACGGUGCUACACUGUUAAGAUAUUCUGAGGGAAGAGUGCCACCUAUUGAUUUGCCCACAACCAUCUCUUGCAUCUCUUAGCAUGGAAACCUGCCAAUGGACAUAAUGGUCUAUUUAUAGUCCUGCUUUGGUUAUUGGAGCUGACUUGAGUAGCAUGUCUUCAGGCUAAGUCUGUCACCUUGCAAGGCUUCAAAACCCAAAGCUGGCAAAAGGCUUGAGCUUGGCUUCAGCAGGGACUCCAUAUAGAAAACUAAGAGAAGUAUCUUUCUGUAGGCUGGCUGUCAGAGGUAUUCGGCUCAUCAGCUAGAGCAGGCACAGAUUGCUUCCAUCCUGCAUCAGACAGGAAUAGCUUAGAAAGGGGAUGUCUCACUGGAGGCUGAAUCCAACCUGCAAAGCGGUUUUAUCUGCCUGCCCUCCAUUCCAGUGUCCAAGCCAAAAAUUUGAUCAGUGAGGUCAAUUUUUUUCCUCACAGCUUAUUUUUUUAAAAAAAAUCCAUGUGAAAGAUAAGGGUUACACCCACACCAUACAUGUAAAAGCAUUAGUCUCCUACUAACAGUCAUGGAGAAUCCUGGUAAUUGUUAAGAUUGUUAAGGUGCUGACUUCAGAACUACAGCUCCUAGCACCCUUAGCAAGUUACAGUUCCCAGGUAGAUUUAUAUUAAAAUGAAAAUGAAAUGAAAAUGGUUCACAGUCCUUUGUGACUUUACAGUUAACUAAUACAGCCAUAGAGAAACCUCCCUUACUCUAGGAAACACAUCCAUUUCAAUCUCACAUAAAUAAUGAAAUAAUUAUGCACCACAUACUACUCUUGUCCCUCGUUUGAGUAGGUUGUAUACCAGUGCCAGUAAGUUUAAUGAGCUGUUGUCCUGAACCUUGCCAAGGCACCCUGAUGUUGACGUUUUCUCCACAUGAAGCUCAUGCAAAAUGUCAGGCUAUAGACAAGAUUUAUAUUUUGCAAUGCAGUUCCAUUUUGCAGCCUUUUUCUUCAGGCCAGCUUGUGAGAAGAAGUUCCCAUAAGGGAAGUUGUGUUCGGAGACUACAGGCAAAUAGAUGGAGGACCCCAACCUUUUUCCCAGCUAGGAAUUCUAUGCCUUUAACAGCAAAGUGACAGGCAGAAAUCUAGGAGGUGGUGUGUUCCCCACAAUGCUGUGGAAAAAACUUCCAGAUGACUCGGUGGCCAUCACCACAUUCUGUGGUAACAUGUUCAAUUUUUUAAUUAUGGCGUGUGUGAAGAAAUAUUUCCCUUUGUCUGUCACGAAUCCCCCACCAUUCAGCAUCCACAAUCCUUUGAGGCCAGGGUGACUGGAAAUAAAAUCAGAGGAGAACCUUUUUUUUUUAGUUUUAUUGUCAAGUGAGCAAUAACCAGAUAGUGGUAAUGAUUCAGCUGUGUCUCCUGCUUGGAUAAUCUGAGAUUCAGAUGGCCCCCAAUACGGGGAAAAUAUCUUCAUUGGUACGUUGCUGUUCCUAUGAGUAGCUCCGGAUAGCUUGGGAAUUGUUGACAUUCAGUUCUUAGAAUAGAUUGGGGUUUUUCAUCAAGGUGUGUGUGUGGAGGAGGGAUGUAGAAAACUUAAUUAAUUAAUUAAUUAAUUAGACUCUACCGUAUUUUUGCUCUAUAAGACUCACUUUUUCCCUCCUAAAAAGUAAGGGGGAAUGUGUGUGCGUCUUAUGGAGUGAAUGCAGGCUGCGCAGCUAUCCCAGAAGCCAGAACAGCAAGAGGGAUUGCUGCUUUCACUGCGCAGUGAUCCCUUUUGCUGUUCAGGCUUCUGAGAUUCAGAAUAAUUUUUUUUCUUGUUUUCCUCCUCCAAAAAUUAGGUGCGUAUUGUGGUCUGGUGCGUCUUAUAGAGCGAAAAAUACGGUACUUAAAUAGGCCUUUAAAAUGUGGCAUGCUUUACUGAUAGUUAUGGUCCUCUAGGCCUGCAUGAGAGACAGUGAGUUGCCUAAGGCAAUUAAUAUUACAGAGAAGGGAUUGGGGCUCAGGCCUCCACAAGCCAUGUAGAUGCUGUUAGACUAGAACUCCUGUCAACCCUGAGCAAUGCCUAAGACUGAUGGGAGUUGGAGCCCAACAACACCAGGAGGGCACUAUACCAUGCCAGCUCUCCAAUAUUACUAGUUCUCAACUGGAAAAUGGCACCUGCCCCUUCAGAAGCUCAGAAAACAUCUUUGCAUCUAGCACUGCAGGUGGCAUUAAUUAUUGUAGCAAUUUCUGCCUCCAAGCCUUGUCAAACUUCUGCUCUGCCAAUUGCUGUCUAUUGUGACACUAACAAUAUCUAGUGAUUUCCCAGAAAUCAAGAUGUUGGGUACAGGACACCAGGCAGCCCUAUUAUUCAUUCCUAAAAGAAUAUUUAUUCAUUUCUUCAGAGUGCCUCUUUAUAGUGUCUUUAUAGUUCUAAAUUGAAGGACGCAGAUGUGUUGGGCCUCCAGUCCAAAUUCUUAAAUUAAGCAUGAAUUGCCUAGGAGAUUUCCCAGUCUUGUUGUUUGUUACAUCAAACCUACUGCCAGCUUUAUUGCUCAGAGAUGCAACCACCUCGCCGAGAAGCUCAUUUGGGCUCAGCUACAAAAGCUGUAAGUGCUGCCUUGAGACAUUCAUCGCCUGCUUUCUGCAGGCACCUGCGAUUUUUUAAUAAUGCCAUCAAAUUCUUGUUGAGAGAAGCUGAGCAUGUGUAGGAUAAGAAAACCUAUAAAGAAAAUUUUAAUUCUUACCCCCAUUAUGUCAUUCGUUCUGUUUGCUUGGGUUGAAGCUGUCUGCCUUGAAAGGCUGCAAAAGCUCGAUGUUGCUAUUGUUUGUCUGCUUAUAUAUCAAAUGAGUCAUUCAGAUCGAGCAUUGCUAGAAUAUGAAGGUAUCAUGAAAAGAUCUGGAUAAAAGCACUGGAUUCUUGUUGUCAAGUAAAAAUAGAGCCUUAUAUUAUCCUCUUCUUUCACAGAAAAGUUUAAGGGUUUUUUUUGUUUUGUUUUGUUUUUUACAGAAACCAACCAGAAUAUAGAGCUUAAUUAAAUCGACAAAAUAUGUAAUAUGAGGAGUCCACUUAAUUGACCUUUAUUAAAGGUUUCUGCCUUGGGUGCAAGCAAGUGUGGGCAUCUCAUUACAGAUUUUUUAAAGUCCUUUUAAAUAAGAUGUUCUGAAACUGUUUUUUUCUCAAAGAGAAUUAUUCAAGAUUAAUGCAAGAAAAUGCAUCAGUAUAAUUAGGGGUCUGCCACCACAGUUUUCUCAAGUUCAUCUUUAUAAUUUGAAAUAAGAGUUCAAUCAUGUUGAAAAUUACUUUUAAGUUUUCCAUCUAGCUCUUGAACCCAUUGUCCACAUUUGGCUUGAACACAUUGUCACCAUUAUUAGUUUUGGGUGAUCUGCCUACUACCCUUCCUGGGAAAAGGGAUCUUUUCACUGUUGUGCAUGCUCUGGUAACCUCCCCAUUGGACUACUGUAAAGUACUCUACAUGGUGCUAUUCUUGAGUGUAGUUCAGAAAAUGCUGUUCAAAAUUCAGCAGCAUAUAACACACAAAAACUAUUUUGCAUUACCUCCAUGAGUUGCCUGUGUCCCCCCACCCCUACCCCCAGGCCCAAUUCAAGGUGUUGGUACCUAUAUUUAAAACCUUUUAUAACCUGGGUCUGGGACACUUGGGAGAGUGCCUUCUACCUUGCCUACCUUCCUACUCUUUGAGAGUGGUUACUGAAAAGCCUUCUGCCCGCUACUGCUAAAACAUAUUUUACAAUAGUGACCCCUAAGCUUUGAAUUCAGCUUCCUUUUACAGGGCCUUCUCAGUAGUGGCUCCCACCCUGUGGAAUGCCCUCCCAUCAGAUGUUAAGGAGAGGAGUAAUUAUAUAACAUUUAGGAAACAUCUGAAGGCAGCCCUGUAUAGGGAAGCUUUUAAAGGUUUAAUGUUUUACUAUGUUUUUAUAUAUGCUGGAAGCCGCCCAGAGUGGUUGGGACAAUCCAGUCAGAUGGGCAGUGUACAAAUAAAUUAUUAUUAUCAUUAUCAAGUCAGGAAUUUGUCACUUUGAACCGUGCACCACGCAGGCUUAUUUUAAUAGUAUGUUGGUAUCAGUUUUCCCCUCUGCUUUGGUGUCUUGAUUUUCAAAAUUUCAUGGUGUGUUGUUUUAAAUCUAGUUCCUCCCUUUGAGAAUGUUAUAUUGCUUUACUAAACAUUAUGUAAGUAUGUUUAGUUGCCAGCUGUUUUCAUAGCCUAUAGCACAUGAUCUACUUCUCGAAGCUGAAUCUGCAGGCUUGGCUUUCUCUUGGAGAACGGCCAAUGAACUUCUUUAUGACAGAAAAGCAGGGACUAUUGGGUGCAUGGUGGUAAUGGGCGUUCUGACUUCACCUCAGAAAAGGCCCAUUCUGUUUGAACUGCCGCAUGUGAUACUGUGAUGAGUUUAUGGCCGGUCCAUUUCCAUCUGAUGGUUUGACAGCAUAACAUAUAUGUAUUAUAAGCUUGUGUCUAGCUGGCAAUCGGAUAGGGAGCAAGUGGCAAAAUUUGUUCUAUAAGAAUGCAGAGUAGCUGUGUCUUCUCAGCCACCAAGUGAUCACCAAAAUGUGCAGCAAAACAUCCCAUGUAUGGAUCUGGGUUUUAGGGGGAGAAAGGAUUUGUUUAUAUGAUGCAAAAGAGGUGGAUAUUUCCUUGUGUUGUUAUUUUUUUAUUUCUUCUUAGUGGCAGAGAAGUUUCCUAGUUGUGACCCUAUGGUUCAGCUUUCCUGAACCAGGGAAAUUCUGUUUGAGUUGGUAUGAUGAGUCACCAAGCAACUUUUGUUUGCUCUCUCUUUCUAAAAUUUGUCCCUGUUACUUUUGGCAACAAAAACAAACACACAAAUAUUUUAAUUUUUAUUGUUACAGCUUUCAUACUUCAUACCCUUUUUUCAAAAUGUUUUGAUAUAAACAAAUAAAACCCCAGACC